rnacentral:tRNA from 1 species
AGGAGUGUAGCUCAAUUGGCAGAGCGUCGGUCUCCAAAACCGAAGGUUGGGGGUUCGACUCCCUCCACUCCUG